AACGAACGCUGGCGGCAGGCUUAACACAUGCAAGUCGAGCGCCCCGCAAGGGGAGCGGCAGACGGGUGAGUAACGCGUGGGAAUCUACCCAUCUCUACGGAAUAACGCAUGGAAACGUGUGCUAAUACCGUAUACGUCCUUCGGGAGAAAGAUUUAUCGGAGAUGGAUGAGCCUGCGUUGGAUUAGCUAGUUGGUGGGGUAAAGGCCUACCAAGGCGACGAUCCAUAGCUGGUCUGAGAGGAUGAUCAGCCACACUGGGACUGGGACACGGCCCAGUCUGCUGGGUGAGCCAGCAUUGGGGAGUAUUGGACACUGGGCCGAAGCCUGUUCCAGCUAUGCAGCGUGAGUGAUGAAGGCCGUAUGGUUGUAGAGCUCUUUCACCGGUGGAGAUACUGGCGGUAAGCGGAGAAGAAGCGCCGACUAACUGCGUGGCAGAAGCCGCGGUAAAAC
rnacentral:rRNA from 1 species